rnacentral:ncRNA from 1 species
CAGGAGCAAGCCGAAAAUCCUUAUUAAGAGAGUAGGCA